rfam:Medicago truncatula strain A17 chromosome 6, whole genome shotgun sequence.
UUAUAAGAAAAAUCUACUUCUUAGAUUCAUUCAAUAAAUGAUGUAUGUGGUCAAUAUUAUAGACUACAUACUUCAUUUAUUGAAUGAAUCUAAAAAUUAGAUUUUUGCUUAUAA